rnacentral:rRNA from 1 species
UCAAAUUUGAAAUCUGGCAGUCUUUUUUUUCUUCUUUGGCUGUCCGAGUUGUAACCUAGAGAAGUGCUUACCUGCGCUGGACCAUGUAUAAGUCUCCUGGAAUGGAGCAUCACAGAGGGUGAGAAUCCUGUCUUUGACAUGGACUGCCAGUGUGUUGUGGUGUGCUCUCAAAGAGUCGAGUUGUUUGGGAAUGCAGCUCUAAAUGGGUGGUAAACUCCAUCUAAAGCUAAAUACUGGCGAGAGACCGAUAGUGAACAAGUACCGUGAGGGAAAGAUGAAAAGGACUUUGGAAAGAGAGUUAAACAGUAUGUGAAAUUGUUGAAAGGGAAACGCUUGAAGUCAGUUAUGUUGGCUAGGGAUCAACCUAGCUAUUUUUCUGGGUGAUUUUCCUAGUCUGACAGGCCAACAUCAGUCUUGGCUGCUGGAAAAGAGCAGAGGGAAUGUGGCACCUUUGGGUGUGUUAUAGCCCUUUGUCAUAUGUGGCAGUUGGGACUGAGGGAUGCAGCGUGCCGCGAGGCUGGGUUUUUUUUGACCACGUUCACGCUUAGGAUGUUGGCUUUUAAUGGCUUCAAUCGACCCGUCUUGAAACACGGACCAAGGAGUCUAACAUGCCUGCGAGUGUUUGGGUGGGGAAAACCCUUGUGCACAAUGAAAGUGAAAGUUGAGAUCCCUGUCAUGGGGAGCAUCGACGCCUGGACCUGAGCUUUUAGCAAUGGAUCCACGGUAGAGCAUGCAUGUUGGGACCCGAAAGAUGGU